rnacentral:lncRNA from 10 species
UGCUGACUGAGGAGUGUGGGUGGACACGAAGCUGGGAGGCAUGCCGUGGAGGUUAAGAGCCAGUCUGUAGCUAGACUGCUGAGCUAGAAUCUCAGCUCAGUCACUUAAUCAGCUUCAUGGCCUCAGAAGCGUUGGAUGAGGUCAGAAGAAGAGGCUGUGAUAAGAUGGAGAGAGAGAAGAGGAGCCCUCUGGAAAGAGGUGGCUGCUGGCACAGCGCUGACGCAGGCAAGCAAGGCUCUUGACUCCUCUGCCCCCGAGAGAGCCCAACAGUCUGCCUACGGCGACCAUCACACAAUUGGGAUGGCCCAGUGCCCUCUCUACAGAGGAAGACACCAAGGCAGGGACGGAGUCCAACCCCGGGUCUACUUGAUUCAAAAGCCCCUGUUAUGCUUGGCACAGGUGGCUCACGCCUGUAAUCCAGCACUUUGGGAGGUCAAGGCGGACGGAUCACCUAAGGUCAGGAGUUUGAGACCAGCCUGGCCAACAUGGUAAAACACCAUCUCUACUAAAAAUACAAAAAUUAGCCAGGCUUGGUGGAGGGCACCUGUAAUCCCAGCUACUCAGGAGGCUGAGGCAGGAGAAUCACUUGAACCCAGGAAGUGGAGGUUGCAGUGAGCCGAGAUCGUGCCACCGCACUCCAGCCUGGGCGACAGAGCAACACACCUACACGCAAAGCCCCUGUUCUGAGUUUCUGUCUGGGAUGAUGAAACAGUUCUGGAAGUGGAUAAUGGGAUGGUUGUACAACACUGUGAAUGUACUUAAUGCCACUGAAUUGAACACUUAAAAAUGGUUAAAAUGGUAAAUUUUAUGUCACAUAUAUUUUACUACAAUAAAAAAAAAGGGUCACAACUAGAACAGCAUUCCCUAUACUUUCUGAGUUCUGACAAAAAAAAGGAAUAAAGACUGCUGAUGAUUUCUGUAAAAGUAGGGCAUAGGGUUCCUGAUGGUGGGGGCAGGGGGCUGUGGAUAGAAGGGACUUUUGGGGUAUCUGAUAAAGUUCUCUGACCUGUGUGCUGUUUGCCUUAGGAUUCAUUUAGACAUUCAUUUGAUUUCUGUGGCUUUCAAAUUGUUGUUUGAUUUUACAAUAAAAGAUUUUCUUUAAAAGUUCC